GAGGACGGAACAGAGAGGUAUAACUGGGAUAGGGCCCGCUCCGCCAAUUUCCGAACCUCGCGGGGCGCGCGACCUAACACGGUAGCCAACCUACGACACAAAAAACUUCAUUUCUGUUGGCGCCUUUUGCCCGACACGCAAUCAUUUUCAAAAUCUCUUAAUAGCUAUUACAUUUGGCAAAACAGGGAUAAAAGAUUGAACGUUCGUUUAAUAAAAAUAAAGGUGUAUGAAAUAUUAUUUUGAUAUUCGUUGAGCCAGCCCUGCUCGGGGCCUCCCGAAGAGGCUUCGGCUCCGAGCCGACCGCCACUUUGUUGCAGCAGUAGCGCGCUCGUGUCGUGUGUGAAGUUCGUUGGUGUUGUGUUCGUCGUUGGACUUGUCUUUAUUUUUGCUGCGGUAAGUAUUUUAAGUCUUUUGAAUUUAGUCCUUAGUUUCCCUUUUUGAAACUGCUGUACUGCGAAUCCCUCUCCAUUCCUCGGCGCCCCCGUUAACUCGUUUAUGUAAUGAAAUUCGGCGAUUGCCGAAACAGGCCUUGGCAGCCGGCUUUGCCGAGUGAUGGCGUCCAUUUUGUACUUAACAUUUUGUGAUAUGUUUUGAGUUUUUCAAUUCCGUGGAGUUUUCUCUAUCUUAUAUAGUCCCUCCUCAAUGCAUUAUCUAUAAUCAUAGUAAGUUUUUCGAAGUGUGCAGCGGCCUCAAGUGACUUUGCGGCCGAGUGGCCUAUACUCAUAACCUGCACUCCUUGCCCUGUUGGUCUCUUGUUUUGCUCAAGUGAAAAAAGUAAUCACUUCACUUUUUAAAUACAUUUCCCAGAUAUAUCAAUUUGUGGGUAAAAGUUGCUUUCUAUUGCAUUAACUCAUUUACAAAGAGUGGGGCCCCACCUAGUUUUAGUUUCUGAGUUAUGGAUGUUUACGUUAACUUUUGGUCGAUUCCCCCCAAAUUCUCCUCACAACACAGAAAAUGGUGCCCAGCCUUCAAAUUGUAGCCUUUAUAUCUCUUUUAGUAUUAGAUAAAGAUGGUGCUUUCCCUUUUUUAAUACCUUCCUUUGUUUUCCUGAAAAAAUAACACAUAAGAACAAAAUGUGGCAAAAAUAUCUCAAAUUUGAAUAAAAAUUAAACCAAGAGUAGUAAAGUAGCUUUUACACCCCUUACUGGGCUUAUAUUUCCUAAUCUUUUUCCUUUCUCUGUAAAAGUUCAAAUGCCAGAAUCUGCAAACUGGGUACCUUUUCAUUUGUCACAGGGAGAAUUUGGGAGAAUCGAUUAAAAGUUUGCGUAAAGCUCCAUAUCACAAAGACCAAUAUGAGCUGGGGCCUUCAACUCAGGGAUUGAAUUCAUCUAUUAAUGGUUAAAUUUUAGCCACACAAUGAACUUCCUGUCACAAGUAUUUUUAGAACUUUACAAUAUACUUAAUAUUUUUGUAUCUUUUGUUCCAGAUGACUCUUGUUGAGGCUUGGGGUGAUGACUUCACAUUCCAUUACUCCAAGGGGAUGUAGGUGUUACUGGAGGCUGUUGAAUCUAUUCCGACCACCAAUCUGCGCUAAGUGAUUGAUGAUGUGUUUGGCAGGCUUCCCAACUGAUCCUUCCGUUUAACUUGUGACUGAAGAUUUUCAAUUAUUGAUCUGUGAUGUAAUCUGUGAUAAAUGUUUUCAUUUACAUGUAGUAUUUAAUUUAAAAUUUUGACUUAAUAUUAUCGGUUAUUGAUUUGUGAUGUAUCUGUGACAAUUGUUUUCAUUAAACAUGCAUUUAGUUUGAAAA